rnacentral:rRNA from 1 species
UACGUAGGGUGCGAGCGUUGUCCGGAAUUACUGGGCGUAAAGAGCUCGUAGGUCGGUUUGUCGCGUUGUCCGUGAAAACUCACAACUCAAUUGUGGGCGUGCGGGCGAUACGGGCAGACUGGAGUACUGCAGGGGAGACUGGAAUUCCUGGUGUAGCGGUGGAAUGCGCAGAUAUCAGGAGGAACACCGGUGGCGAAGGCGGGUCUCUGGGCAGUAACUGACGCUGAGGAGCGAAAGCGUGGGGAGCGAACAGG